AGUGAACGCUGGCGGCAGGCCUAAUACAUGCAAGUCGAACGGCAGCACAGUUGACCUUGCUCCAUGGGUGGCGAGUGGCGGAUGGGUGAGGCAUACAUAGGCUUCUCUCUAGUCGUGGGUGAUAACUUAGGGUAACUUACGCUACUACCUCAUGCUCCCUUCGGGGGACUGUUUGUGAUCUUCGGGCCUUGCGCGUUUGGUUGAGCUCAUGUUCGAUUAGCUAGUUGGCGGGGUAAAGGCCCACCAAGGCGACGAUCGAUAGCUGGUCUGAGAGGAUGACCAGCCACACUGGGACUGAGACAAGGCCCAGACUACAACGGGAGGUAGGAGAAGGGAAAGUUGGACAAUGGGAGGAAGCCUGAUCCAACCAAGCCGCGUGAGGGAAGAAGGGCCUCGGGUAGGAGAGCUCAUUUGUCCGGGAAGAAAAGCAACGGGCUAAAACCUCGGAGUUAUGAAGGUACCGGAAGAAUAAGCACCGGCUAACUUCGUG
rnacentral:rRNA from 1 species